UAACAAGAAAGCAUAUUUUUGAUGACUGAACUAGAGAUGCUGACUUGUGAAAAUUGAGUUGAGACGAAAGUUGUUUUCUUCGUUAGAUAGAGUUAUUGUAGAAAUUCGUGAGCGUUUUCAACAGCUACAGAAUUUAACGGAUAAGUUUGCUUAUCUAACACCGGCUAUUGGGACCGUGCAAGUUCGGCAAAGCGACCUCUAUUUCUACGCUCUGUACUUUUAUUCGCACUUUUAAUUAUAUUGGCCAAUUAUAUUAGUCCUGGUUGCUGGAUAAUUGUCAAGACCAUAGUCCAAAAAAAUAAUAAGAAGAAAAAAAUAAGAUGCAGGUUAUGUUUAGCAAACGUAAACAAUUGUAUGUAGUAAAUAAAAUCCGUUAUUAAAAUGCAGUAUUGCAAGCAAAAUACAAUUAAUUAAAUUUACCUUUAUAUAAUAAUUGCAUAUCAUAUCAAUAUUGUGGAGCAAUAUAUAAUUUUUCUAAGUCAAUGACAGAAGGUAUGAAAUAUAGGGUAGGUGGGGGUAAAAGUACGCACGGGGCAAAGGUACGCACUUACAUUUUUCAGUAACUUCUUAUAUGUUGGCGACAACAUCUUGUGGCAUAUGUUUGUACUACUCAGUAGCAUUGGAUGAGAAACUUUGGCGCAAUCAGGGCGAAUACAACAACAAAAAUGAGGGAUACUUGCGCUAGAUUCUUGCUGCUUGCUGCCCAGAGAUUGUAUAUUAGGUUCCAAUUUUCUUAACUUCAGUCUCAAGUCUCCACGUUGUGUCAUAUACAGCCGAUUUUUUCGUUUACCAGUAAGUCAUUUACUGCACUAAAUCUACAUUCAGCUAAAUAUGAAGAUGAACUGGUAGGAAUAGCUUUCUUGUACAUUUGGUUGAAUUUGGGUGUUUGACUUCUAUUUCCUUAGAAAGCCAUGCCAUCGCCCCUUUUAUAUUAAAUAAAGUUUUUCACUGA